UGUGGGAGCGAGCUUGCUCGCGAAGGCGUCGGUCCAGUCGAUACGAGUAUUGAAUGUGACGGCCUCUUCGCGAGCAAGCUCGCUCCCACA
rnacentral:antisense_RNA from 1 species